AGGAUUGAAGCAGGGCUCCGGCUCUGUGCUCCCUGUUACAACACAUCAGUUGUAGCAUGAGUUACUAUUGGGAAUAGAGCAGCUGGAAACAAGCUUGACAAUGAGCGCUACACAUUGUUUGAGGCUGUUUGUGCUUUGCUUUUGGCUGCUGGUUGGUGAUGUAAAUUGUGAGAAUACUCAGAGAGGUUAUGUCCAACACGUCCAAGUGGGACAGGCCCAAAGGGGAGUCCACAAUGACAACAGAGACGACACAAGAUGGAGAGAACCACCUAUUGUCAGAAAUCCCUACAGCUGGUUACAAGACAUCAAGUGUGGACAGACUGCAAAGUGGCAGCAUUUACCCCACACGA